rnacentral:rRNA from 1 species
UACGUAGGGGGCGAGCGUUGUCCGGAUUCAUUGGGCGUAAAGCGCGCGCAGGCGGUUGGCCGAGCCCGGCGUGAAAGCCCCCAGCUCAACUGGGGGAGGCCGUCGGAGACCUGUCGACUUGAGGCCGGUAGGGGAGAGCGGAAUUCCCGGUGUAGUGGUGGAAUGCGUAGAUAUCGGGAAGAACACCCGUGGCUAAGGCGGCUCUCUAGUACGGUACUGACGCUGAGACGCGAAAGCGUGGGGAGCGAACAGG